AUUGAACGCUGGCGGCAGGCCUAACACAUGCAAGUCGAACGGUAGCACAGAGAGCUUGCUCUCGGGUGACGAGUGGCGGACGGGUGAGUAACGUCUGGGAAACUGCCCGAUGGAGGGGGAUAACUACUGGAAACGGUAGCUAAUACCGCAUAACGUCGCAAGACCAAAGUGGGGGACCUUCGGGCCUCCCACCAUCGGAUGUGCCCAGAGGGGAUUAGCUAGUAGGUGGGGUAAUGGCUGACCUAGGCGACGAUCCCUAGCUGGUCUGGGAGGAUGACCAGCCACACUGGAACUGAGACACGGUCCAGACUCCUACGGGAGGCAGCAGUGGGGAAUAUUGCACAAUGGGCGCAAGCCUGAUGCAGCCAUGCCGCGUGUAUGAAGAAGGCCUUCGGGUUGUAAAGUACUUUCAGCGGGGAGGAAGGCGGUGAAGUUAAUAACUUCACCGAUUGACGUUACCCGCAGAAGAAGCACCGGCUAACUCCGUGCCAGCAGCCGCAGUAA
rnacentral:rRNA from 1 species